CCUACGGGUGGCAGCAGUGGGGAAUAUUGCACAAUGGGCGAAAGCCUGAUGCAGCAACGCCGCGUGAAGGAAGACGGUUCUCGGAUUGUAAACUUCUAUUAAUAGGGAAGAAAGAAAUGACGGUACCUAAAUAAGGAGCCCCGGCUAACUACGUGCCUGCAGCCGCGGUAAUACGUAGGGGGCAAGCGUUAUCCGGAAUUACUGGGUGUAAAGGGAGAGUAGGCGGCAAGGUAAGGGAUAUGGUAAAGUUUUAAGCUUAACUAAAGGAUUGGAUAACGAACUAGCUGGCUAGAGUACAGGAGAGGAUAGCGGAAUUCGUGGUGUAGCGGUGAAAUGCGUAGAUAUUAGGAAGAACACCAAUGGCGAGGGCGGCUUUCUGGACUGAAACUGACACUGAGGCUCGAAAGUGUGGGGAUCAAACAGGAUUAGAUACCCCUGUAGUC
rnacentral:rRNA from 1 species